CGCACUCUCGUUUAGAUUGAAGGAGCUUGCUCCUGAUUGAUAAACAUAUGAGUGAGUGGCGGACGGGUGAGUAACACGUGGGUAACCUGCCCUAAAGUGGGGGAUAACAUUUGGAAACAGAUGCUAAUACCGCAUAAAACCUAACACCGCAUGGUGUAGGGUUGAAAGAUGGUUUCGGCUAUCACUUUAGGAUGGACCCGCGGUGCAUUAGUUAGUUGGUGAGGUAAAGGCUCACCAAGACCGUGAUGCAUAGCCGACCUGAGAGGGUAAUCGGCCACACUGGGACUGAGACACGGCCCAGACUCCUACGGGAGGCAGCAGUAGGGAAUCUUCCACAAUGGACGAAAGUCUGAUGGAGCAACGCCGCGUGAGUGAAGAAGGUUUUCGGAUCGUAAAACUCUGUUGUUGGAGAAGAAUGUAUCUGAUAGUAACUGAUCAGGUAGUGACGGUAUCCAACCAGAAAGCCACGGCUAACUACGUGCCAGCAGCCGCGGUAAUACGUAGGUGGCAAGCGUUGUCCGGAUUUAUUGGGCGUAAAGCGAGCGCAGGCGGUUUCUUAAGUCUGAUGUGAAAGCCUUCGGCUCAACCGAAGAAGUGCAUCGGAAACUGGGAAACUUGAGUGCAGAAGAGGACAGUGGAACUCCAUGUGUAGCGGUGAAAUGCGUAGAUAUAUGGAAGAACACCAGUGGCGAAGGCGGCUGUCUGGUC
rnacentral:rRNA from 1 species